ensembl:lncRNA
AUUUUCACCUGCCCCUUUAAGGGCAGGAGGUUACCGUGGUUACGCAACUCCAGUCAUGUUUGUGCUGGGGUCGAGUGUGGGAAAAUACUGCAGUUUUUCCAAUGUAUCGAAAUAAUGUAUUGUAAUAGCAUUGUGCAAUUUCCCGCAAGACAUAGUUUCACACACUACAAAGGGUAAAGAGUGCGAGAAAAGUGGGAGACAGGCAGGGAGACAGGCAGGGAGACAGGCAGGGAGACAGGCAGGGAGACAGACAGGGAGACAGACAGGGAGACAGGCAGGGAGACAGGCAGGGAGACAGACAGGUUCUUGGUGCUGUGUAGAAACAGCAGGCCCAGGGAGGAGGAACACAAGAAUGAAGACAGGAGUGAAGGCACACAGCAAACCUUUUUGUUUCAUUUUUACUUGUUUUCACCUACACACACACUUUUCCACAGUGGACCCGAACACCACACAUGUAACAUGUGAACAGUGGGCACUCAAGGAAAAUGUGUUAUUUUACAUGUUCUUCACAGAAAAUGAGCCAAGGCCAAUGAGUUAAAAUUAUUAAUUGUAUAAUUUUUAUUUGAAUAAAGUCCACAAACAAAGGGAAAAGGUGACAGGAGGAGAGUGCAUAGAGGAUAGAAUGCAUACAACGUGGCUGCUAUGAAACUUAAGUGAACUGUGUUAAUGCUUGAUCAGGGGUGUAUUCAUUCUGCCGAUUCUGUUGAAAAACGCUUCUUAAACAGAAGCAAACGAAAUGGGGAUGAAAAUACCUGAAUUUGUCCAAUAGAAACUCUCGUUUGCAAUUGUUGGACUAAUGAUUACACACUAGAUUAGAUAGAUGCAGGCAAGAGUUGUGCAAGGCGGUAAUGAAUGUGUCACUGUCAUCUCAAAUUUUUCUCUCGACCUGUGUGCACCUACAUUGUAAAAGUUCAUUCAUAGGCUAUGUUGUAGCAACCUCAUGAUGGGUAUAGGGAAAAUUAGAGUAUCAUGUUGUAGUCUAAACCUAUCAAUGUUACAAUGAACUGGGUGAAUAGAAUAGGAAUGCGAGUCAUCCAACACGCUGUAAUAGAAAUAAGACCAUGGUCAUGAAAAAUAAAAUCCUCCCUCAUCACUUACCGCCACUGGUGUAGAAAUGCACUAAAUUAGUUUCAGAUGCCCAAAACAUUCUCACCAGGUUAUGUCCCCCCCAGUGGCGGUCAGUGUCUUUUAUGAUGAGGGAGGACACUUUUGUUUUUCAUGAGCAUGGCCUUAUUUCUGUUAUAGCAUGUAGCAACAUGGUGUAGCCAGAGGACAGCUAGCUUCUGUCCUCCUCGUGGUAUAUUGACUUCUGUUGAGGCUACUGUAGACCUUCA